rnacentral:rRNA from 1 species
CCUACGGGAGGCAGCAGUGGGGGAUAUUGCACAAUGGGGGAAACCCUGAUGCAGCGACGCCGCGUGGGUGAAGAAGCGCCUCGGCGCGUAAAGCCCUGUCAGCAGGGAAGAAAAUGACGGUACCUGAAGAAGAAGCCCCGGCUAACUACGUGCCAGCAGCCGCGGUAAUACGUAGGGGGCAAGCGUUAUCCGGAUUUACUGGGUGUAAAGGGGGCGCAGGCGGCGGUGCAAGCCAGGAGUGAAAGCCCGGGGCCCAACCCCGGGACUGCUCUUGGAACUGCGUGGCGAGAGUGCAGGAGGGGCAGGCGGAAUUCCUGGUGUAGCGGUGAAAUGCGUAGAUAUCAGGAGGAACACCGGUGGCGAAGGCGGCCUGCUGGACUGCAACUGACGUUGAGGCCCGAAAGCGUGGGGAGCAAACAGGAUUAGAUACCCUUGUAGUC